rnacentral:misc_RNA from 1 species
AAGUCGUAACAAGGUUUCCGUAGGUGAACCUGCGGAAGGAUCAUUAACACUAUAUCUAUACUACAUUCUUUUUCUUUUCGAAAGAAAGGAAAAAGAAAUUUCACCCCUACUUUUUUAAAGCGAACCAUUUUGUUUUUAAUAAUAAUAUAAUAUGAAAAUAUUAUAUUUUUUUCUUUUUUCUUUUUCUCUAAAUAAAUAAAACCCAAUUGAAACAUUUCUUUGACUGAAUUUUUUUUUAUUACAAAAAACAAAAAAACAACUCUUAGCAACGGAUAUCUUGGCUCUC